rnacentral:tRNA from 1 species
CAGGUAAUAGUUUAUAAAAAAAUAUGAAUUUUGGAUAUUCAAGAAUAAAAUACCUGA